CACAUAAGUUUUAUUUAUAUUAUUCUCACUUUAAUUAAGUUAUUUUAUUACUGUUUAGGUUAAACCUAAUUCACUGAUCUUUGGACCGCCUCACGCACACUGUCGCCUACCUCCCAGCCAACCACCGCCAGCCGCCGUCUUGCCGCCGCGAUUCAGACGCCGUUCUCCACCCCAUGAUUCAGACGCCGUCACCGCCUUCUGCGCGAAUCCAGCCGUGCCGUCCUCCGCCUUCUCCAGCCGCCCAUGUCGCCCAUGGCAUCACCAUAGCCAUCAGCAUAGGCCGCCGAUUCCCCAAUAUCCGACUCCAUAUCUCCCACCAUCAAUCCUCCCAACAAUCCCGCCCCCAAUCCUAACCCUAAUCCGCCGCCCAUUCCCAUCUUAUUCUUCUUCGGCCUCACUGAGUCUGGAUAUGAAAGAGGAGGGAGAGGCCGGGCUUGCCGGCUUGGUGAGUUCUAGCGGGGGAGAAAUCCCUGCCAGUGCUUUGAAGGAACCAUGGGUGGUGAUAAAGCAAUAAGUCUUGAAGAGAUUAAGAAUGAGACUGUUGAUCUGGUAUAAACUCAAUUCUUCCUUCUAUUCUAUUUCUAAUCAUUCUCAAUUUUAUCGAAGGGGAUUAGCUGUUUUUUUGUUGUUAUUUGAUUAGCUGACUGAAGAACCUUCGUUGCUUGCUGCAUAAAGUAUUGUUUUGGUUUUAUUAGUUACUCGAUUUCUUUCUGCAGAAAUAGAAUAGAUUGAUAUUUACGGCUAUUGUAAAAGUUUCUCAGAUUUUGACGAUUAGAAAGAUGCUUUAUAUGAUUGGAAUAUCCUUAAUUUUAAUUAAAUAAGCCACAUAGGAUAUAUGAUUGUUUUAGUACAAGAUUUAAUGUAACAUCUUAUUUCAGAACCAACUGAUUAUUUUGCUAAUUAUAUACACUAAGAUUUCUUGAAUGUAUGUUUCAAUGGGAUAUCAUAUUGCUGUAAUGUUAUUUCCUUCACAAUCAUUUGUUUUUCUUUGGAGUCUUCCUUUUCCGGGAAUAGUAGCUUUGAGAAACUACUAGCCGGGGAACGAAGAGAUUCCGAAAGGUCUCAGAUCGUGACGCGUUCUAAGCCUCUCUAGAAGGAUUGGAGACAGGAAUGAGACCCGUGAUGUACCCACCAUCAUGCUAGAUAGACAAAGUCCUUUAAAGUCGAGGUGGGAACGAGGUCUGACAAUCGGGAACAAUUUUCAAACAUUUUUCCUGAUGAGGCCAAUAUGAAACUCAAUGAACAACAAUUGUCAUUCCUAUCAAGUCCUAAGGCAGUGAAACCAGAGAGAAAAUAUAACAAAUAUUAUCAAGCAGAAUCUAGCUGUUGGUGACAUAUUCAAACGCGAAAACUUGCAGGGUACACUUUGACAGCAUGUGGUUGUUGUAUUGAGCUAUUGGCUAAAAAGGGCUGUGCUGCUAACGCUUAUGCUUAUAGCGCAAUUAUUAAAAGUUUCUGCAAGGGCGGGAUGAUUGGAAACAUGCUGCAGUUGUUGCACAAGAUGACCGAUUGGAGCAUCUCACCGGAUACUGUCACUUACACCUGGAUCAUACAUGGGCUGUGCCAUGUGGGCAGAUGGGAAGAUAUGCGAGAACUGGUACACGAAAUGAUUGAUAGGAAGAUGAUAUCUUUAAACGUGAUCUCUUUUAAUGUAUUGGUGAAUAUGCUAUGACACCAUGAUAAAGGGGUUGUUGUGUGUGGGUAGAUUUGCAGAGCGCUGGAAGCUCUUUGGUGAUAUGGAGGCUCAGGGAGUUCAUCCUGAUCUGAUCAUAUAUAAAAAAAGUUUCACACAGUUUGUAUUAUACUAUGUAAUAUGGAAGUCUUUUU